rnacentral:rRNA from 1 species
GCCUUAGUAGCGGCGAGUGAAGCGGCAAUAGCUCAAAUUUGAAAUCUGGCACCUUCGGUGUCCGAGUUGUAAUUUGAAGAAGGUAUCUUUGGUUUUGGCUCUUGUCUAUGUUCCUUGGAACAGGACGUCACAGAGGGUGAGAAUCCCGUGCGAUGAGAUGCCCAAUUCCAUGUAAAGUUCCUUCGACGAGUCGAGUUGUUUGGGAAUGCAGCUCUAAGUGGGUGGUAAAUUCCAUCUAAAGCUAAAUAUUGGCGAGAGACCGAUAGCGAACAAGUACUGUGAAGGAAAGAUGAAAAGAACUUUGAAAAGAGAGUGAAAAAGUACGUGAAAUUGUUGAAAGGGAAGGGCUUGAGGUCAGACUUGGUUUUACCAGGCCAGCAUCAGUUUGGAUGGCAGGAUAAUAGCUUAGGAAUGUGGCACUGCUUCGGUAGUGUGUUAUAGCCUGGGUUGAUACUGCCUGUCUAGACUGAGGACUGCGUCUUUGACUAGGAUGCUGGCAUAAUGACCUUAAGCCGCCCGUCUUGAAACACGGACCAAGGAGUCUAACGUCUAUGCGAGUGUUUGGGUGUAAAACCCGUACGCGUAAUGAAAGUGAACGUAGGUGAGAGCCUUAGGGUGCAUCAUCGACCGAUCCUGAUGUCUUCGGAUGGAUUUGAGUAAGAGCAUAGCUGUUGGGACCCGAAAGAUGGUGAACUAUGCCUGAAUAGGGUGAAGCCAGAGGAAACUCUGGUGGAGGCUCGUAGCGGUUCUGACGUGCAAAUCGAUCGUCGAAUUUGGGUAUAGGGGCGAAAGAC